UCCCGGAAGGCCUCGGGGCAGAGCGGUCCCACCCACUGCGCGCUGAACAGAGCCCGCGUUUCCGCAGAGCUGGAACUCCCGGCUCGGGGUCUCUUCCCUCCUCCGUCACGGAACUGCCCCGGAGCCCGAGGGGAGGGCGGCCUCACUGAGGCUGCCGGCUCUGGAGGGGCCCCGGCGGCCGAAGCCGUGAUAGUCGAGGGGACGGCGGGCCGGGACCCCUGAUUAAUCAGGAAGGUUCCCUGACCUCUGGUGGUGAAAGUGAUGAUGAAAGCAACCAAGGAAGCCCAGCAGAAGCCUAUCACGGGGCUGGGGCUCCCUCUGGAGGAAGCCAGCCAUCAUGUAGUGAGGACAUUCAAUCAAGUAGCAGGUGGACAGACAGGCCCAUGCAGGGAGGAAAUGAGGCCUCCCACUAACAACCAGCACCACCCUGACAGCCAGGAACCUGGAGCUACCUGGAAUCCUGGUCCACACUUUGGGAAGCCCAGCAGUACAAGGAUCUCUACCCCUGGUUUCUCGUCAGCUCCCUGUCUUUGUGACCACCUCUCUUAUUGAAAUCAGACCCCCACUCAUUACAGAGUUUGAGCGGGCAUGGGGACUUUCCACUCUUGUGACCUAAUAGUGUAACCAAAGUGCCUAGUACUGUACCUGGUCCAUAGCAGGUGCUCAAUAAACAGCAGCUGCCUCCUUCUCCUCAUUAUUAUCAUUGUUAUCAACUCUUUGGUGGCAAACACAGCUUAGACGUCUCUGCAUCCCUGUUGGAGUCUAACAGUUCUGGGCUCCAACCUUAACUCACACUUUUGGACGUGGGGCCUUGGGCCAUUGAGCAGGUUACCUACAUUCUUUAAACCCUGUUUCCUAUCUGUCAAACGAGGCUAACAAGAUAUGCUUCCACGGACUGUUGGGCUAAAUAAGACCAUAAGAUGCCUAACCCAGGGCUGGUCACCAAGCAAGCAAGUGGUAAAUGUUAGCUGCUGCUGCUUCCUAUUGUUAGUAGUAUUAGUCAUGCGCCUUAAACACAGUAAAUACUUGUUGGCUCACUGAAGUCACCGCCCAGAGAAAAACAGUUGUUUUUCAUUCUCAGUAAGAACCUUUGGGAGGUGACUUGGGCAGGCACUGAGAGAACAGAUGUCUCUCAUGCAGCAUCAGCAAACUCAUAAAUCAGAAGAACUGAUGGGCCGUUCACUUUGCUUGGAACCCCACCCAACGGGCAGAACCUGCUGGGCUAUCUCCCAGGCCCACUGAUCCUCUGGGGGACCGUGUGCUAUCACCCCAUGGCUUGCACAGUCCUUCACCUCAUAUUACUAAACCACCAGCACUAUCUGUGGUCAUUUUGGUAGAUUAUCAGAUCUUGUUCAUUCAGAAUUUCUUUUACUCAU